ACUAUAUAGGCGUACUACGUCAGAAGUGUAAGGUGCUGUUUUAUACGCCCUACGUAGUACCCUACGUAUUCAAAGAGGAGGCAUUUUAGAUUCAACCCAAAUAUGCGCGGUCACGUGCUUACCACACGCCUAAGUGAAAGGAGAUUUUUCCUGACUUCAUUUGUUCUUCAUUUUGUACAAAAUACACUUGUAAGCACGUUUAACUACCCAUAUGACCUGGAAGAUAUUUAGGACAUGAUGAAAAUAUUGGCUUAAGCCAUGACCUCAGCACUAAUGUACUCAGUGGUUGGGAAAACUGACUUCCGGUCCUGAAUGCUUGUCUUGGUUUGGAUGGGCCUCCUGUCAGUCAUUUUAUAGACACUGCGGGACAGGGGAGAUAAUCCAAGGACAGAGAUUUAUGAAAAUGAGUAGGUAUUGGGGGGUAGGGUCAAUAAUUAAAAUCAAGCAAAAAUACCCUAAACACUUAAACAUCACACCCACAUAAAUGACUACACAGAUGGCUAAUCCUACCUAAUGCUUCCAUCCAUCUUCUAUACCGCUUAUCCUACAGG